rnacentral:rRNA from 1 species
GCAUAUCAAUAAGCGGAGGAAAAGAAACCAACAGGGAUUGCCCUAGUAACGGCGAAGUGAAGCGGCAACAGCUCAAAUUUGAAAUCUGGCGUCUUUGGCGUCCGAGUUGUAAUUUGCAGAGGGCGCUUUGGCGUUGGCAGCGGUCCAAGUUCCUUGGAACAGGACGUCACAGAGGGUGAGAAUCCCGUACGUGGUCGCUGGCCUUCGCCGUGUAAAGCCCCUUCGACGAGUCGAGUUGUUUGGGAAUGCAGCUCUAAAUGGGAGGUAAAUUUCUUCUAAAGCUAAAUACUGGCCAGAGACCGAUAGCGCACAAGUAGAGUGAUCGAAAGAUGAAAAGCACUUUGGAAAGAGAGUCAAACAGCACGUGAAAUUGUUAAAAGGGAAGCGCUUGCAGCCAGACUUGCCUGUAGUUGCUCAUCCGGACUUCUGUCCGGUGCACUCUUCUAUAGGCAGGCCAGCAUCAGUUUGGGCGGUUGGAUAAAGGUCUCUGUCAUGUACCUCUCUUCGGGGAGAACUUAUAGGGGAGACGACAUGCAACCAGCCUGGACUGAGGUCCGCGCAUUUGCUAGGAUGCUGGCGUAAUGGCUGUAAGCGGCCCGUCUUGAAACACGGACCAAGGAGUCUAACAUCUAUGCGAGUGUUUGGGUGUCAAGCCCGAACGCGUAAUGAAAGUGAACGGAGGUGGGAACCUUUCGGGGUGCACCAUCGACCGAUCCUGAUGUCUUCGGAUGGAUUUGAGUAAGAGCAUAGCUGUUGGGACCCGAAAGAUGGUGAACUAUGCUUGAAUAGGGUGAAGCCAGAGGAAACUCUGGUGGAGGCUCGCAGCGGUUUCUGACGUGCAAAUCGAUCGUCAAAUUUUGGGGCAUAGGGGCGAAAGACUAAUCGAACUAUCUAGUAGCUGGUUCCUGCCG